rnacentral:lncRNA from 1 species
GUGCGUGACGUCACCCUCUGGCCUGCGAGAUGGCGAGGGCAAGUAGCGGGGCCGAUGCUCCCUUGGGAUCCGGGUGUGGCUCGGCUCAGGUAACGCCCGGCCCUAGGACUCCUUCGGCCUCCGCCCACGGGGAGUGCUGAGACUGCCGGCCGGUGUGCUGGCGACCUUUACCCAGGCUUGGUCAAGGCUUCCUGGCUGGCGCAACUGCACUGGCCUCGCAGUGGACGCCUGCUGGUGACCUUUACUCUGUUAAACCAUCUUCCUGCUCUCCCAGUGAGAGCCUCAAAGCUGGGGAAGUGAAUGGAUGAACUGGGAGAUGUCUGACUCGACUUAGAAUUUCUGAAGCAUGCACACUAUGGCUAAGAGCUUGGCAAUUUUAUAAGCUGGAUUCCAGAAAAUCAAAUAUGCCCAUUAAAAGAUGGGGUACAGAGCUAAACAAAGAAUUCUCAACUGAAGAAAACCGGUAUGGCUGAGAAGCACCUGAAAAAAAAAAUGUUCAACUUCUGUAGUGGCUAUUCCUGGCUGUCAACUUGACUAUAUUUGGAAUGAACUACAAUCCAGAAUUGGAAGGCUCACCAGUGACUCUUAUCUGGAGGCUUGGAGAUCCUUAUCUGGAUCUUGGUUUGAAGAUCUUGAGCCAUAGUGGCUAUGGAUUCCAGAAGAUUCAAUCUCCGAUUUUAAGGAACACACCUUUAAUCUGGGCUACAACUUUUCAUCUGGGAUUAAGGGUGUGGUGGAACACACCUUUAAUCUGGGCUACACCUUCUGCUCGAGACAAUAUAAGGACAUUGGAAGAAGGGAGUCUAGCUCUUGCUCCUUCGCCUGCUUGCUGUGUGAGAUUGAGUAACUGCUAGAUCCUUGGACUUCCAUUCACAGCUGUGACUGAACAAUUGUUGGGAAUUGGGCUGCCGACUGUAAGUCAUCAAUAAAUUCCUUUACUAUCUAAA